CGGGACGGGGUGGAGGUAACGACGUGGGAGUAAACCGCCUCACACAGGGGAGUAACAGUUAGAAAUGACUGCUAAUACCGCAUAAGCGCACAGUACCGCAUGGUACAGUGUGAAAAACUCCGGUGGUGUGAGAUGGAUCCGCGUCUGAUUAGGUAGUUGGUGGGGUAACGGCCCACCAAGCCGACGAUCAGUAGCCGACCUGAGAGGGUGACCGGCCACAUUGGGACUGAGACACGGCCCAA
rnacentral:rRNA from 1 species